rnacentral:sRNA from 1 species
GCUCCUCUUCAAGCUUUAGCAGGACAUACUGUAUCUUCUGAAGUUCCAGUUCCAAUCUCCCCACGUUUUCCGAUCCUUUCUGGACCUGUCCGGAUAUUUUCCUCCUACUGGGGUACCCUUCUUGCUCCGCGUUCAUGCUAUCUGAUAGCGCAGGAUAUGCUGACGGUGUUGUAUUCGGAGUUCAUGGGCGAUUUCCCGUUUGAUGGGCUCCCCAUUUUCCGCUUCAGCUCCUUGAUGCUCACUUGGAUGCUCUGCAACCUCUGAGCAUCAGAAGAGAGCUUCUCCAGUACAUUGUUGCUCCAUUGCUCAUGAGGCUCUACAGAUGAUGUCGACACCUCAAGCUUAUUGAUUCCAAGGUCUCUUCCCCUUGCUAGCUCAGAGGAAGGCUUCCCACAGCUGCAGCAUCUCGUCAUCCAUCCCAGCAUUCGCGCCAUUCUUAAGUGGGUAGAGCGCAGCUCCAGUGCCAUAUGGUGGACAUGUGGAUAUUUGAUCAAGUUCGAUAUCCUUCAUCAUCUGUACCUGCUUCCCUUUGGAGCCCUCGACGUUGUUCAGCUUCUCAUUGUCGGAGUAUAUUUCCCUUGCCUCCAUCUGCGACCCGCCUCUUGCUUUAAGCUCUUGAAUAUCUCUGUGUGCUGCUGCCAACGUAGCAGCAGACUUGGUUGACUCCUGAUCAUGAAGAUCUUUGGCAUUUCGAAUAGCAACUUGAAGUGCUCCCAUUCUUGCAAUUAACCGCUGUAGCUCUGGAGUUCC